AGACUGCUCAAAUCCUGUAGGAAGAAGACAAAAAAUAAUUCAUAAAUAUAUCUAUAUAAGGAAGAGCCAGAAAGAGAACCACACCAUCAUCCAAACUUGAAAAAGGGCUUCAUGCUGGUUUAUUUUCACGGAAAGCUCCUCAUAAUUUGAAAUCACAGAGGGUCACAAGCAUCUGAGAAGACACAAGCUAAAAUGUCUGGAUUCUAUGA
rnacentral:lncRNA from 1 species